rnacentral:rRNA from 1 species
AAAUUGAAGAGUUUGAUCAUGGCUCAGAUUGAACGCUGGCGGCAGGCCUAACACAUGCAAGUCGAGCGGAAACGAGUUGUCUGAACCUUCGGGGGACGAUAACGGCGUCGAGCGGCGGACGGGUGAGUAAUGCCUAGGAAAUUGCCCUGAUGUGGGGGAUAACCAUUGGAAACGAUGGCUAAUACCGCAUGAUGCCUACGGGCCAAAGAGGGGGACCUUCGGGCCUCUCGCGUCAGGAUAUGCCUAGGUGGGAUUAGCUAGUUGGUGAGGUAAGGGCUCACCAAGGCGACGAUCUCUAGCUGGUCUGAGAGGAUGAUCAGCCACACUG